rnacentral:tRNA from 1 species
GCCUGAGUGGCUCAGCGGUUGAGCAUCUGCCUUUAACUCAGGGUGUGAUCCUGGUUCUGGGAUCGAGUCCCACAUCAGGCU